UAGAGUAUGGUGUAACUUAGGUAGCACAAAGAACUUUGAAUUCUUGGGAGUAGGUUCGAUUCCUAUGAUUCUAG
rnacentral:tRNA from 1 species